UGGGGAAUAUUGGACAAUGGGCGCAAGCCUGAUCCAGCCAUGCCGCGUGGGUGAAGAAGGCCUUCGGGUUGUAAAGCCCUUUUGUUGGGAAAGAAAUCCUGUCGGCUAAUACCCGGCGGGGAUGACGGUACCCAAAGAAUAAGCACCGGCUAACUUCGUGCCAGCAGCCGCGGUAAUACGAAGGGUGCAAGCGUUACUCGGAAUUACUGGGCGUAAAGCGUGCGUAGGCGGUUCGUUAAGUCUGUCGUGAAAGCCCUGGGCUCAACCUGGGAAUUGCGAUGGAUACUGGCGAGCUAGAGUACGGUAGAGGAGGGUGGAAUUCCCGGUGUUGCGGUGAAAUGCGUAGAGAUCGGGAGAAACACCCGUGGCGAAGGCGGCCAUCUGGACCAGUACUGACGCUGAGGCACGAAAGCGUGGGGAGC
rnacentral:rRNA from 1 species